AACGGCCGCGGUACUCUGACCGUGCAAAGGUAGCAUAAUCAUUUGCCUUAUAAUUGAAGGCUAGUAUGAAUGGUUCGACAAGAGCACUGCUGUCUCUUCCUCAUUAAGUAGAAUUUAACUUUUAGGUGAAGAGGCCUAAAUAUAAUUGAAAGACAAGAAGACCCUGUCGAGCUUUAAGAUAACUUAGGAACUAUUAUAAUUUUAAAUCUAUAACUAAGCGCUUCUUUUAGUUGGGGCGACUAAGGAACAGAAAAAGCUUCCUUUUUUAGCAUAGCUUCUCGGCAAAGAUCCAGUAGGACUGAUCAAAAGAAUUAGUUACCGCAGGGAUAACAGCAUAAUCUCCUUUGAGAGACCUAAUCGAAAAGGGGGGUUGUGACCUCGAUGUUGGACUAGGAUAUCCUAAAGAUGCAGAAGUCUUUAAGGGUUGGUCUGUUCGACCACUAAGAUCCUACG
rnacentral:rRNA from 1 species